rnacentral:lncRNA from 1 species
CCUCCUUUAACUACUGGCCGGUGCCAAUCCCCCCAGCUCGCUGAUUGGCUUCUUCCAAUCGUGAGCGAGGCCUGAUCAGCUGAUGUGGGGGCUCAUGGCUCCAGCGAUUGGGCAACCAGGAGAAGGAGGAGGAAAAAGAAGAAGAAAGAAAGGAAAGAACGCAGAAGGGAGGGAACGAGACAAGAUUCCUGGAAUCAUUCUUUUGAAGGACACCUUGCUUUCCUUUGCAUCUGAGGAUUAUUGCUAUUUUCACAUCCUGCUUGCAGAUGCAAGACAAAACAAAUUGACUUGUUUGUGCAAAAAAAAUUCCUAUUCUUAUUUUAGGGCAACCUUCCACAAUUUGAUAUUCCCCUAGCUGCUGGAUUACAUUAUCCAUAAUCCACAAACCAAUUGGGCAGUAUUGGCUAAGGAUCAUGGGAAUUUACAACAUAUUUGGACAGCACUAAAUUGCAAAGGCAAGUCUUCUAAAAGUUAUGUUUUAGAAGCUUAUGCUACCUACUGCCUGGCCCAUACUUUCAUUUAUUCAACUCAGUUUUUUAAAAUUAAGCAGUGCUUUAUUGAUUGCCAGAUUUUAGGGUACUUAAAAUGCUUGAUUAUUUCACAGUAGACAAAACCUAUUCAGACAAGUUCAUAUCUGGUCACUUGAACCAAAUGCUCAGUUGCUGAGAAAUUGAAUGAGGAGCAAGGGGAAGAACAGUUUAAUUAAUUUGGGAUACUUGAAAUUAAUGAGUGUUCCUUUGGAAUUGUCUGGCAUAAAAUUCAACCCGGAAAACAAAGAUUGGGGAAGAUUGUUUAAGAUUAACACAUUUGAGUUAAUAAAUCUAGUAUUUCUUUUGCACAGUAAUUAAGCAUGAGAUGUGAAGGAAAAUGUGCUGGUAUUGGAGUGAAUUAAUGAUUUCUUUGCAUUGUUCAUAAAGCAAUUUAAUAAACUUCGUAUUUUGCAUGUUAUAAAUGCUUUGAUUUCCUAACAAAUUUUAGAUGCAGAUAAUAGCUAAGAGCAAACUUUUUAUGCCAAAAAAGGCAAAAACUCUUUAGUACCAUUAAAGAGAAUCAAUCCUAACAGAUAGACAUAGAAUACCUUUAUUGUCACUUUGUAUGUACAUUAAUCGGC